GGUCGGUGGGGGAGAACCUCUACACCGCCACGGGAAGCUACACAGCUGGGAAGGAAACUGCGAACUGGCAUGGAGAAGUGUGUGACUACACGUUCAGCAGCAACUCCUGUAAGGAUGGGGCUGUCUGUGGACAUUACACACAGGUAAGGAAUGGUCAGGUGUGUGACAGGUAAGGAACAGUCAGGUGUGUGACAGGUAAGGAACGUCAGGUGUGUGACUACACCUUCAGCAGCAACUCCUGUAAGGAUGGGGCAGUCUGUGGGCAUUACACACAGGUUGUGUGGGCUGCCAGUACUAAGCUUGGGUGUGGUGUGAAGCUGUGCGACACUCUCGCCACUGUCGACUGGAACAACGCCAACCUGGUGGUGUGUAACUACGCUCCCGCAGGUAACUUUGGUGGACAGAAGC